GCCGCGGCCCCAGGAGCCCGCUGGCUGAGGCCGUGGGUGAUCCCCAGUCCCCCCCAUGACACCCGUUAAUGUCACCUCAAAAGGCAAAGCAGCCGUAGGAAGUAAAGAGGGGCUCUGGGAGAGCCCGCAUCUGUGCAUGUCGCUGCAAAGCGGGGUCUGGAUACCAUUGUGGUGGCAGUGCCUCCUUCUGCAAGAUAAACAGCAGUGCUGGAUUUGGAGUGGACUGCCCGGUCACUGCCGUUGUUGUUGACCUCGCAGUGCAGCGGUUCAGUGGAGAUGACCCAUGUUGAAGGACGCCACCGCUUAAAGCCAACUACUUCUAAGAGAAUGAGGAAAAGUAAAGAAAAGAGGGUACAAUAUGCCCCUAAAGGAAGAAAUAGGAAGACCUUUCAAUAUGCUUUGCAGCUG